CUCUUAUAACGAGAAGCGGAGGGACUGGCCCAAUGAAGCUUCAGCAACCAUUCAUUGCGAUGAAAAGGUGCUAAAUCCAGCAAAGGGAACUUUGGCAGAUAAGGG
rnacentral:ncRNA from 14 species